UGUGUAGGUGGUUUAAUAAGUCAGUGGUGAAAGCCCGGAGCUCAACUUCGGAACUGCCAUUGAUACUGUUAAACUUGAGUUCGGUUGAGGUAGGCGGAAUGUAGCAUGUAGCGGUGAAAUGCAUAGAUAUGCUACAGAACACCAAUUGCGAAGGCAGCUUACUAAGCCGAUACUGACACUGAGACACGAAAGCGUGGGUAGCGAACAGGAUUAGAUACCCUGGUAGUCC
rnacentral:rRNA from 1 species